GCAAACAGUUGGAUUCUUACAUUUAUAACCCGAUUUAUUAUUUCUGAAACUGAAAUUAAACAAUACUGUGUAUCAGGUAUGUGCAGCUUGAGCAAAUGCUGUGAGAAGACAUUGAUUAUCAUUCUAGUCCUCUGAUUCUUUUCAGUAUAUUAUUGUUCAUUUUGUCAAAUUUUGGUGAUUUGUUAUGUUUUCCAAAAUUCAUGUAACAUCGAUUCAUGUAUAUAUAUAUGUGUAUAUUUAUGUACAUGUAUAUAUAUUUAUAAAUAGACUCACAUAUGCCUAUAGAAUAUGAGUAAUUUGAAGUUGAGUAAUAUGAGUAUCCUCAGUCAUAUCAAUGCUGGGAUUUUGAAAAUGUCUUGUUAUGAAAUCAAACUGUAUACUUUGAGUUAAUUAUUGUGGUCAUUGUGGUUCCCCUUGCCAACUAGAUGUAAAAGGCUAUUUCAUUUUUAUGCUGCUUAAUGGGGAUGAUUUUUGUCUUCAUUUCAUACUUGAUGACAAAACCAUUUCAUUCAAGACUUCUGCCUAAGUAGAUCUUUAAGCAAGAGUCAAUAGAUGGCGAUAAUACUUGUAAGAAUAAUACACUUUUUAAAAGUAGUGUUUCCAAAAUGAAUGUUUUAAGUAUCAGUGGGGUUUUUUUAGAAUGGUGGGGGUUUUUUGUUUGUUUUGGUUGUUUUAUUUGUUUUGUUUUGUGUUUUUUCUUAAGUUGUAAAGCAAUUACAAUGAACUGCUAUUCAGUUCAUUGUGUUAUUCUGCUUUAAUUUCCCUAUAUAGAGUCAGCUUUGAGGAUGAUAAUUUUUCUGUUGUCCACGUACCUGAUACAGUUGACAGAGUAUAUUUUUCACCAGUUUAGAUCCAGCAAUAGCUGAUUUUGUCUUAGCUGUGGAUGAAAUUCACUUUCUUCUAUGCCAAAUGGAGUUAAACCUAAAUAAUAUUUCCUUGUGACAGCUAAUGACACCGUCCUGAUGAAUCAGAAAUCUCUCAUGAGCUUUAUUUUCUUUUUUUUUUCUGAUUUUUUCCACUGUUGAAGUGUGUUAUCUUGUUUCAAGUAUUAAUUAUAAGCAGUCUUUGCUUUAGUGUGUCAGUGGAAUCAUUUAUAACGUGUUGUAGUAUUGCCUGUUCAACUUAAACAUUCUGCUGAGGCCGUGUUGAUAUUAAAUCGUGUUUGCGUGUCCUUUAUGAAGGAUGAGUCUUUCUAUGCUUUUCUACUUUACAAAUGCAAAUUUAAAGACAAUUUGUUUCAUUAUUCUUUCUAUUUUGUAAAGUCAGAGGUAGUAGUGGUCCAUUAAAUGUUUUCAUUGCUGAUAAAGCUUCUUUUGCUCUUGGAAGAUUCUUUUGCUAAAAAUAGUUGCAUUCCUGUAACCAUAUGCUCAGUGCUUUUCACUCAUGAAUUUUCCAGGUGAUGAUAGGGCUCUCCCAGCCAUAACUAUAUUGAAAAAGGGAAGUCAGAUAUCAUGGAUACCAUAAAGUUAACUGCUGUUUGGGUAAUGGCUUUAUAAAAGCUGUGGUCACUUCCUUUUCAGUAUUGCAUAGUGCAACUUACCUUUAUUGAAAUGACAAAUAAUAGCAACCUGCUCUAUGCUUUCUUAAGGCCUAGGAGGUCUGAAUACAGAAAGAAGCACCUUUUUGUUUAACAAUAAAAAUUGUGAUAGCCAGUAGUUUUUUUGAAACACCUAAGACUCCCCAAAAUAAAUUUGUCGAUAUCACUAAAGCAAUGCAGUAUUUAAGGAUAUAAAAAUACAGCUGUUAUAAAUAUGACAGUAAGUAAGUCUUGAUGAUAUAGAAAAGAAAGACACAUAAAUGUAACAGGAAACAUUACGGCAAAAAGAGUAUAACCACAAUAAAGAAUUACUAGUGAAUAUACUUAAAUUAGGCUAAAAUGUCUUUCUGUGACUAAAAAAAUAUAAGGCAAAAGCAGCAAUUUACAGUCUGGUAGUUUUAGCAGAGCUCACUGAAAAUGAAUGAAACCUGAUUACUCCCUGUGUUGUACUAUUGGACAGAUUUGCAGUGAAGUCUGCUUUAGGUUUGUAGCUAUAAAGGUUUGGUUGGUAAGCUGGAGGUAUAUAGCAUUGCUUAAUUACUGAACAAAUCACAACCCCUGGCUCUUUAUAUUUCAGUACAAUAAAGUUUUCUUUUUCAUCUCAGUAAUUUUCAGAUUUUUAUGUUGUUUUGCCUGGUUAACAUUGCAGACUAGGGUUUGCUCUAACUUUGUAAAAUCCAUUGGGAACCUCUCACUGGCCUUAGCUUAUGCAGUAUCUCACCAAAAUCAUACUACUUCAAGCAGAGCUGUGCUGUGCACAGAAGUGGAAGGAGUCCUGGGAGCAGCAAUAUUCCCAGCUCCAAAUGCUCUGUGGUGACAGAACGUCACGGAGUCCGUGCAGAGGGAGAACAGUGAAGUUCCACAAGUGCUUGCUGGCAGGAUUUUUACAUGAACAGCUGUGACUCACAAUUUCUCCAAGUCCCUCUCUCCAGCUGAGAAGGCAUUUCAGGUCACCAGAUGUACAAUUACCAUUCUCACAGGAGCUAAGCAGACAGUUUCUGACUUUCUAGAGCAGUGUGCUUCUUGUCAAUCACAGACUUCUGCACAUUCACAAAAUACUUCCUCCUGAAGGUCUGUCAGAUGACCAAACCCCAUGUACUACCUUAGACUCCCUAGAGAAUUAUCCUGCCUCCUCAAGAAUCUCUGUGGAGGGGGGGAGGAAAAUGGUUCAGGUUUGCUAAAUGGACAUAAUUCUAUAUAUUUUUCACACACAACACUUUUAUAUCUCAUAUUACACACACUAUCUGGAUCUGAUAGGGGAACGAUAUUUAUUUAAUAGAUACACUGUUUAGUAUUUGCUACUCAUUGGCAAACAAAACUUACAUGUAACAUGAUGAUUUGUUCAGACACUAGUGUGAACACUGAGUAGACAUUAGGGAGAGACAUAGAAGUGGCAGACUAAACAAAUGUAUUGUGAGUGAAAAACAUAGGAUUGAACACGUUCCCAUAAGAGGAAUGAGGGAGAAAUCAAAAGCCAAGCAUAAUGCACAGAAGAGUUAUCUUCUUAUAGUAGUUCUAUUACAUGAUCUAAUUUUGAAAGGAAUUCUCAAGUUUCAGCCUAGAAAAUGUGUUGCAACAGUUGUUGUUUGGAUUUUUUUUUUAGUUGGUGUAAAUUCUAAAAUGUACAGGGUUUUAAUUCAGGCCAGUGAAGGAAAUAAGUAGAAGCUUUCCAGUUUCUGCCAUUCCGUGCUACUGGAGAAGAUGAGAUUAAGGUACAUGCUUAGUACAUGACUCAAAACUCUUUAUUGAGAGAAAUUAGAUUAUUUGGUUCUCUCUCUUUCUGUUUAUCUUUCUUUUCCCUCCUAAGUAAAUGCUAAUUCUAGGUUCUUCAUAAGACAAUACUGUAUGGAAGAGCUACAGUCACUGUAUAGAAUUCCAAAAUCACAUGCAACACACAUUGAAGAAAACCACAGGAAAGUCUGAAUUUUCACAUGUGGUUUCCUAAAAGAGACAGUGGCCACCACUAAAUUCUGGAAAUUCCCAAUAAGAUUCAUGAAUUUACUGUAUUAAUACAGAGACAGAAGUAAUGAGCUGAAGACAAAAAGAAAGUUAGACACUCUAGAAAUAAAUUACAGAUGUCAUUCUGUAAAACCUGCAUUUAGAUGGGGUUGUGCAAAUUAUCUUUCAGUUGGGAAGCUUAUGCCUGCCACAAGCAGUAAACUUAGCAGGUUCUUCAGCAGUGUCCUUUGUAUUGAGGGAGGCAGAAAAGCUGACAGUGGAGAUGGUGCUGUCUUGACAAGACUGACUGCCUGAGAUUGCAUGGCAGUAUGUUGUACCCAUCUCUCAUGAUUUUUGUUUCUAGAGGCAGGGGCUGUCUUAUUUUUUUUCUCUGUAUUCAUACACUGCUUAACACAGUGGCUUCUGAUAGAUGACAGGGCCUCCUAGGUGCUGUAGUAACAUAAGCAGUAAUUAUUAAACUUUGGUCAUAUUAUGCUAUUCUGGUGCUGGUCCUCCCAGGAACUUCAUAAACCACCAUGAAGCCUUCCUGGAGAGGUGGGACAAGUGCAAGUGUACAGUUAGCCAAUUAUCAUAGGACAAUUGACAUUUCCACUCUUUCCUAAAUCAGAUGUAAUUUCAUUUAGGUUUUAGAAGAGUAGGCCUCAGUGGUGAAAUGCAAAUAUAGAAUUGAUGGCAUAUCAAAUUGUUUCUAGUGGUCUCUGUUGUACUUGUCCCAGCUGUGGGAAAAGCAUAUGGAUGCAGCAGCCUGAAACCAGCACGCUGGGAGAGAGGAAGGGGAUCUAGACCAUAGAGGGAGAAGGAGGAAAGAAUAGAGCUCCAAAUUUUUUAAGUUAGUCCUGUCAGAAUCCAGGCUCCUAACAUGGGACAUUUUCAUCCUGUCCUAGAGGAAAUGUGAAGUCUUUUCUGGAAUGGAAUGGAAUAAGGAGAAAGACAAGAAAAACAGAUGGCACUGUAUUGCUAGGAACAAGAGGCACAUACAUAGUGCAGAUGGAAAUUCUGGUACAAAUUCGCUCAGAAGAUAGGACAGCAGUUCUCAGCUGUCUGCCUUGUGCAGGUGAACAGGCACGAUUUUCUGAUUGAAGUCUCAGCAACAGCUAUGCAUGAGAAAACCUGCUGUAUGUAGCAUUAGGACAUAAAGUCUUAAUAAAAUACAAAAUAUGCAAGAUAGUAUUACAUCACAUAUAAAACGAGGUACAUAUUGUCCACAAUAAUAACAUUUAUUAGGAAAAAGAAAGAAAAAAUUAAAAAGCUUCCACAUAAAUUUAAAAUAGCUUAAGAUAAUUCCCCCUUACUCAUUAUUCCCUAUCCAAGUGAUCCCUCUCUAAGUCUAGUCUUUUA